AUUGAACGCUGGCGGCAUGCCUAACACAUGCAAGUCGAACGGCAGCACAGCAGUAGCAAUACUGUGGGUGGCGAGUGGCGGACGGGUGAGGAAUACGUCGGAAUCUGCCCAGUCGUGGGGGAUAACUAGCCGAAAGGUUAGCUAAUACCGCAUACGACCGAGAGGUGAAAGCGGGGGGACCGCAAGGCCUCGCGCGAUUGGAUGAGCCGACGUCGGAUUAGCUAGUUGGCGGGGUAAAGGCCCACCAAGGCGACGAUCCGUAGCUGGUCUGAGAGGAUGAUCAGCCACACUGGAACUGAGACACGGUCCAGACUCCUACGGGAGGCAGCAGUGGGGAAUAUUGGACAAUGGGCGCAAGCCUGAUCCAGCAAUGCCGCGUGUGUGAAGAAGGCCUCGGGUUGUAAAGGUCACUUUAUCUAGGAACGAAAAGACGUUGGAUUAAUACUCUGACGUGCUGACGGUACCUGAGGAAUAAG
rnacentral:rRNA from 1 species